rnacentral:tRNA from 1 species
CGUGCCCGGGACGGGAUGGCCGGAGCCGGGCGGGCUGUUGCCCCGCGAGGCGCUCAACCUCGUGCGGGCGGUCGCCGCGCCUGGGCUCGCC